GUUCUCAAAUGGCUGAAUUCCAGUAAUGGGAACGGGGGAACCAACGGUGAUUACGGCUUAGGCUCAGAUAGCGGCCGCACACCUGGGGUGAAUCCUUGCUGCAUGCUGUAUAACGGUGCUCCGGCAAGGUAGGGCAAUCUCGCUGCCCGAAUCCGUCAGCUAACCCCGUAAGCCUCGAAGAGAGAGGAU
rnacentral:sRNA from 2 species